UGUACUUAGAUCUCAUGUGUGCCCAUUAGUCACGCAAUGCAGCCUUCUUGUGCCCAGCAUCUCAGACCAUAUCUGUGCCAUAAAGGGAGAAUAUUCUCUUAUUCCAAUCCAUCAGAAUUCCUCUGCAGCUGCUUGGGUUCACCGAUCAAUCCAGAAGAGCUCCUCCGAUGUCUUGAUCCAAGCCCAAGCGGUGGGCUGAAGAUGUCCAUGAUCCGGCUGAAGUCUUCAUCCAAGCGGGAGCUGAAGAGGUCCAUGAUCCGGCUGAAGUCUUCUAUCAACGGCAUCUUCAAUCUUCUUUCUUCCGGAUCCAUGUUCAUCCCGCCGACGCGGAACAUCCAUCUUCACCGACGAAGAUGGGGGAGUGAACUUUUUUAUUAUGAUUCCUAUUAUCUAAAAAAACGACGAUGUUAGAGAUGUGAACAUUGCUAUUGAGAUCCUCUUUGAAAAAUAAAGAAACACAUAUUUUACUAUUUCCCCAAAAUCUACUUAAGGGGGGUCAAAAGAGGGGGCUGAUUAAUGAGGAUACCUAUACCUUAAAUACUGAUGAUGUUACAGACUGGAAAAUUGCUAUUUAGAUCCUCCUUGAAAAAUAAAGAAACACGUCUUUUA